ACAAGAAAGGGCUCCACUAUCCAGGCCAGACUGGCUGUGAACUUGGGACUCUCCUGCUUUGCUAGGGCUCUCAAGUGCAUACAAUCCUGUCCAAAUCGGUUUCUCUGUGUGCCAUCUGGCACGUAAUGAGAGCUUCGGUCACGCCUUAGGUGCCAUGUUAAAUGCCUUUCCUCCAGAACCAUACACAGUUCUGUAUACAUUGGCCAUUGCUGCUUCCUCUGCACUUGAGAGAUCAAGAUGCAAAAACUCUCAGCUCCUUCUCCAACAGGAUGUCUGCCUGCACACUGCCAUGUUGCCCACUGUGAUGAUAAUGGACUGAACCUCUGAACUCCCUCAGGUUCUGUGAGCUAUCUGAUAUUCUAAACAUACACCUUGUAUGCUGGAUCAUUUGUCAGUUUGACACAGCUAAAGUCAUCUGAGAGGAGGGAACCUCAACUGAGAAAAUGCCUCCAUCAUCCAUUGGGCUGUAGGUAAGCCUGUAGGGCAUUUUAUUAAUUAAUGAUUGAUAGGGGAGGGCCCAGCCCAUUAUGGGUGGGGCCAUCUCUGGGUUGGUGGUUCUGGGUUCUAUAAGAAAUUAGGCUGAGCAAGCCAAUAAACAGUACCCCUCCAUAGCCUCUGCAUCAGCGUUUUCAGAUUCCUGCCCUCACUGCUUUGGAUGAUUACACUAGUA